rnacentral:rRNA from 4 species
GUGACCCCAGGUCAGGCGGGACUACCCGCUGAGUUUAAGCAU